rnacentral:rRNA from 1 species
GACGAACGCUGGCGGCGUGCUUAACACAUGCAAGUCGAACGAUGAAGCUGGAGCUUGCUCUGGCGGAUUAGUGGCGAACGGGUGAGUAACACGUGAGAAAUCUGCCCUUGACUCUGGGAUAACUGCGGGAAACUGUAGCUAAUACCGGAUACUUUCCCUGGUGGGCAUCCACUGGGGAAGAAAGAAUUUCGGUCAAGGAUGAUCUCGCGGCCUAUCAGCUUGUUGGUGAGGUAAUGGCUCACCAAGGCGACGACGGGUAGCCGGCCUGAGAGGGUGACCGGCCACACUGGGACUGAGACACGGCCCAGACUCCUACGGGAGGAAGCAGUGGGGAAUAUUGCACAAUGGGCGCAAGCCUGAUGCAGCAACGCCGCGUGAGGGAUGAAGGCCUUCGGGUUGUAAACCUCUUAUAGCAGGGAAGAAGCGGAAGUGACGGUACCUGCAGAAAAAGCACCGGCUAACUACGUGCCAGCCGCCGCGGUAA